UCAAAGACUACAUAUUUAUUUCAUUCCAACAGCAAAGAACGGACUUUGAAAUCCCUCUGUCCAAUUUUUUUAGGUAGUGCCGGGUAACCACAUAGAAAUGAUUGCCUUUUCCUCAAUAUUGGCUAGACGCCUGAUUCUUCACAGUUGGAAAAGGGCAAGGCCACCAUCUCACAAACGCUGGGUGGCAGAGGUGAUGUCAUAUCUCUCUGAUAAAUUGUCUAAUAUCUUACAGAUGGGGAUAAUGUGACAAACUGCCAAUUUUAUGUUGCUAUACUUUAAAGUAAUUUUAUUUAAUAUAAAAGUCUCAUGCUAAAUUUGCUUAAACAUGGUUUCUAAGGUAACUCCAUUUCAGGAAAUGACAUCAGCACCCCAUUUUUUAAGUUCAUACAAAAGCAGUGUGAAAACCUCAAAGACAGCAUUAGAUCAAUUACAAACGUUUUUCACCAGAUGAAUGAUGUUUUUAUUCAUUUCCAUUGUCCUCCUCUUAGAGAUGCCAGCAGAUGUGCUGGGAUUGACUUUGAAUUCAGUUUCAAAGGUUUUGGUUAGAGCAGAAGGCAAAACUAUAUUUCUGCCUUGCAAUGCGACUGGUCUGGGCUCUUCAGACUAUAUCCAUUGGUACCAAGUUAAAGACGGUCAAGCCCCAUCGAGACUACUCUACAUCAGUCAAGGAGGUAGUGUUGCUUAUGAUACCAACAUUAAAGAAGCAAAAGACUUCACAGUGGACAAAAAAAAGCUUUAUGAUCUAAAACUGAGUAAUACUCAGACAAGUCAUUCUGCCGUUUACUUCUGCGCCUACUGGGACACAAGCAGCGGCCACAGUGAGAAGAUUUACUCACAUCCUGUACAUGAACUAUACUUGUAAUGUUAUUACCAAUAUUUAUAUACUUAAAUUGUCUUUUUUGAUUUUAAAUUCUUAAUUUGACUUAAGCUUUAUAUGCACAUGCUGGCUGGAUGAUGGUAUUUGGAUCUGUUUGGAUUGGAAUAAUAAUUGCCCUGGUGUUCAUGGA